CCUACGGGAGGCAGCAGUGGGGAAUUUUGGACAAUGGGCGCAAGCCUGAUCCAGCAAUGCCGCGUGCAGGAUGAAGGCCUUCGGGUUGUAAACUGCUUUUGUACGGAACGAAACGGUGAGCUCUAAUAAAGUUUGCUAAUGACGGUACCGUAAGAAUAAGCACCGGCUAACUACGUGCCAGCAGCCGCGGUAAUACGUAGGGUGCGAGCGUUAAUCGGAAUUACUGGGCGUAAAGCGUGCGCAGGCGGUUAUAUAAGACAGAUGUGAAAUCCCCGGGCUCAACCUGGGACCUGCAUUUGUGACUGUAUAGCUAGAGUACGGUAGAGGGGGAUGGAAUUCCGCGUGUAGCAGUGAAAUGCGUAGAUAUGCGGAGGAACACCGAUGGCGAAGGCAAUCCCCUGGACCUGUACUGACGCUCAUGCACGAAAGCGUGGGGAGCAAACAGGGUUAGAUACCCUGGUAGUCCACGCCCUAAACGAUGUCAACUGGUUGUUGGGUCUUCACUGACUCAGUAACGAAGCUAACGCGUGAAGUUGACCGCCUGGGGAGUACGGCCGCAAGGUUGAAACGUUAAAGGAAUUGACGG
rnacentral:rRNA from 1 species